rnacentral:rRNA from 2 species
UAGGACUCUCGGCAAUGGAUAUCUUGGCUCUUGCAUCGAUGAAGAGCGCAGCGAAAUGCGAUACGUGGUGUGAAUUGCAGAAUCCCGUGAACCAUCGAGUUUUUGAACGCAAGUUGCGCCCGAGGCCAAUUGGCUAAGGGCACGUCUGCCUGGGCGUCAAGC